rnacentral:rRNA from 1 species
UACCAGCACCCCGAGUGGUCGGGCCGAUUAUUGGGCCUAAAGAAUCCGUAGCCGGUUUUACAAGUCCUCCGUUAAAUCCAGCUGCUUAACAGAUGGGCUGCGGAGGAUACUAUAAGACUAGGAGGCAGGAGAGGCAAGCGGUACUCAGUGGGUAGGGGUAAAAUCCGUUGAUCCAUUGAAGACCACCAGUGGCGAAGGCGGCUUGCCAGAAUGCGCUCGACGGUGAGGGAUGAAAGCUGGGGGAGCAAACCGG